AGCAGGGGCCUGUGCUCAUCUGGGCGGACGAUCCGCCCACCCAAGGAAGGACGACUGCUGGUGUGCCGGGAGGGAAGUGCUUUCAGGCUUCCUCCCCACAAAAAGGGGUAGCCCACUGCCCAUGAGAAAGGGCUCAUUACCUUCCAGAACAUGCCCAGGAAAGUCAUUUCCAGCUAAGGAGAGGCCCCUUCUGUCUUUAAUGAGCCUUUCUUGUUGCCUCCCUCUCCCCAAAGGAGCAUGAAGACGAGCAGGAAGUUGGACAAUGUUAGGUGAUGGGGGGAAACACAGCAGCAGUACGACAGUCAAUGUCAGCGGUGGAGGGGGAGUCAUUCAAUGACAAUUCUGCAGGCACCCGAAGACCUUGAGUUGCCCUGGUUUCAACUCUAGAUUUCUUCUGACUGAGCUUGUUUCAUGGCUUGAGCUUCCAAUUCCUGCUUGAUCCCCUUGGUUCUUCUGCUGGCUUCCACUCAAUGCCUGCCUAUAUGCUCAGUUCUCAGAGUCCUGUUCUAGUACAUACAAGCAAACCUUGGCAGCAGAACUCUUCCAACACGAGAGUCUAGACAGGAUAAGGAGGGAGGGCCACAUAUGUCAGGGCUGAGAAGAAGCCCAUUUCCCCACAUCUCAACUGAGGACCCCAUCAUGGUCUCUAAGGAGAAGCAGCGUCCGCUGCACUGCUUAUUGAUGCCAGCAUUUUCCACUUAACUAGACAUUGAAAUACAUAUAUUUACAUCUAA